rnacentral:misc_RNA from 1 species
UACAGAGAGUGCAAGCGUUAAUCGGAAUUACUGGGCGUAAAGCGCACGUAGGCGGACAUUUAAGUCGGAUGUGAAAGCCCUGGGCUUAACCUAGGAAUUGCAUUCGAUACUGAGUGUCUAGAGUAUGGUAGAGGAAAGCGGAAUUUCCGGUGUAGCGGUGAAAUGCGUAGAUAUCGGAAAGAACACCAGUGGCGAAGGCGGCUUUCUGGAUUAAUACUGACGCUGAGGUGCGAAAGCGUGGGGAGCAAACAGG